rnacentral:rRNA from 1 species
AGAGUUUGAUCCUGGCUCAGGAUGAACGCUGACAGAAUGCUUAACACAUGCAAGUCAACUUGAACUUCGGUUUGGGUGGCGGACGGGUGAGUAACGCGUAAAGAACUUGCCUCACAGUUAGGGACAACAUUUGGAAACGAAUGCUAAUACCUGAUAUUAUGAUUUUAGGGCAUCCUAGAAUUAUGAAAGCUAUAUGCGCUGUGAGAGAGCUUUGCGUCCCAUUAGCUAGUUGGAGAGGUAACGGCUCACCAAGGCGAUGAUGGGUAGCCGGCCUGAGAGGGUGAACGGCCACAAGGGGACUGAGACACGGCCCUUACUCCUACGGGAGGCAGCAGUGGGGAAUAUUGGACAAUGGACCAAGAGUCUGAUCCAGCAAUUCUGUGUGCACGAUGAAGUUUUUCGGAAUGUAAAGUGCUUUCAGUUGGGAAGAAAAAAAUGACGGUACCAACAGAAGAAGUGACGGCUAAAUACGUGCCAGCAGCCGCGGUAAUACGUAUGUCACAAGCGUUAUCCGGAUUUAUUGGGCGUAAAGCGCGUCUAGGUGGUUAUAUAAGUCUGAUGUGAAAAUGCAGGGCUCAACUCUGUAUUGCGUUGGAAACUGUGUAACUAGAGUACUGGAGAGGUAAGCGAAACUACAAGUGUAGAGGUGAAAUUCGUAGAUAUUUGUAGGAAUGCCGAUGGGGAAGCCAGCUUACUGGACAGAUACUGACGCUAAAGCGCGAAAGCGUGGGUAGCAAACAGGAUUAGAUACCCUGGUAGUCCACGCCGUAAACGAUGAUUACUAGGUGUUGGGGGUCGAACCUCAGCGCCCAAGCAAACGCGAUAAGUAAUCCGCCUGGGGAGUACGUACGCAAGUAUGAAACUCAAAGGAAUUGACGGGGACCCGCACAAGCGGUGGAGCAUGU